AGUACGUCACUUGCACUGUAGUCCUGACCUGCUGAAAAGUUCAAACUUCUGUAUGCUGUUUUCUUUCUCAUAGGUGAAAUGAGGACAAAAAUCUACUGGAUCUGAAAAUCACUUAAAGUAUUUAAUUACUGUGCAGUUGCAGAGGCUUGAGCCAGGCCAAGAAAGCUGCUAGGUGAGCAACAUUCUCAUCUAUUGGACGAAUGACCGCUAUCAACAUCCGUUCCAAAGCCUUAUCUGCUUUGUCCUGUCUCAAGAGGAACCGCUUUCCGUUAUUCUACAGCAGCUUCUUUUGAUACACAGUUCCAUCUUUAAAACUAGUAUUAUAUUUACCUGUCAGCGGAGAUACCAUGAUCACGGACGUGGUCUUCCCAGGGUGAUGCUUAACCCGUGUACUCCGGCUCUGCUCACCCCUGCGACUUCCUGCACGAUCCGUGGAAGGGGCCCUGGUUCGCGCUUUCCCCUGAUCCUCUCGGGUUCGAGACCACACUGGAGCUCUUCGGCCUCCGUAGUUGCGCGCCCUGCGUUUUGCCCCCAGUUCUCAUAGGACGAGUUCACUAUGUGGUGAGAGCGAGCUGGGUUGAGAGGCCCGGUGUGAGUUCUUAAGCAACUCGGUUUUCUUUUUGCCUGACUUGUCCGUGGAAGAAAACCCGUAAGUUUGAACUUUUUUGCUGGUUUUGUAUUUGCACCUCCGCUUUUUUCAUCCAUAGGAAAUCGUGGGGAGUCCUAGAGUGAAGAAAGCAAUCCAGACUGGGAGUGAAGGAGUGCAGGGGUGAAGAUGAAUCAGAGCAGCAGGUGGAUUUGAGGUCAGAGCUCGGGAAGGCAGGGGUAGUGUCCACGCCACAGGGGUAGAUCAGGAAUUGGGAACUAGAGACCCAAGCUGGCCAGGUAGGAAGGGGUCUGAGACAAUAUAUUAAAAGAGUUUUAAGGGGCGCCUGGGUGGCUCAGUCGUUAAGCGUCUGCCUUCGGCUCGGGUCAUGAUCUCAGGGUCCUGGGAUCGAGCCCCACAUCGAGCCCCACAUCGGGCUCCUGCUCCGCGGGGAGCCUGCUUCUCCCUCUCCCACUCCCCCUGCUUGUGUUCCCUCUCUCGCUGUGUCUGUCUCUGUCAAAUAAAUAAAUAAAAUCUUAAAAAAAAAAAAAGUUUUAAAAAUAAAAAACCCCCUAAUAUUAACAUCCUACUAUUUCUUCAUUUACCAAGAGUAUACAGAUAGUGAAGACUUUUGCUUUCUCUUACCCUCUCUUUCUUGAAUCUUCCUGAUGUAAUUAUAUUUUAAUUUUUAGUUAAAUACAUAUUCAGUGUUUUCAUGAUAAUUAUGAGAAUAUUGUUCACUACCGACCUAAGUAAUGUGCUAUGACUAUGUUUUCUUUCUUGUGUAUUUUUUAUUUUUUUCUUGGAGUUAAUAAUUGUCAUUUUCAUUUGCUUAAAUUUCUUUGAAACAUGGUAAGUCUUCCUGCCUUCCAAUAGCUCUGUAAAAUGGCUCUCUAUACAAUUUUCCACAUGGUCAAAACUGUCAUAUCACAUAUCAGUUCCAUUUCAUUCUGUAAAAUUCUUUCUGUGCACCUCUGGCCUCCUACUCCAUUCUGGACUGAUUCUCUCUAGAUUUUUAAAAUGAUGGACUGUUGGGGCACCCGGGUGGCUCGGAUGGUUGAGCGUCAGCCUUUGGCUCGGGUCAUGAUCCCGGGGUCCUGGGAUCGAGUCCCUCGUCGGGCUCCCUGCUAGGCCUGGAGCCUGCCUCUCCCUCUGCCUCUGCCUCUCUCUCUCUCUCUGACUCUCAUGAAUAAAUAAAUUUAAAAAAAAUUAAAGAAAAAAAAGAUGGACUGUUAUCAGUUUCAGCAUAUACCUUCAAUAUUU